ACUAAGGACGUCACCGCGAACUCAGAGUUCGAUAUAGGCGCCGAAACAUUUAGACAUACUUACAUGUUAUUCUUAUGAUAGAAUUUGAUACAAUCCUCGAAUUGGUUGACUUACUCAAGUCAGCGCUACAAUACUUUUAAACAAGAGAAAGAUCCCUCUUCAAUCUUCAGGAGAGGACGAGACAAGUUUUCACGACAUAAUGACGUACCAGUUUUUGAGGAAAAUUUUCUAGUUUGCUAAACAAUGUCGCACUGUUAGGGAAUUAAGUACGUGUGUGAUUUAGUGCCGCACAAGAGUUAAGUGGAAUGAAAGUCUAGUAUCCAAACUAGAUGACCCAGAUAUGCAAUUUCGAGGACGAAAUUUUUAUAAGGAGGUAGGAAUGUAACACCCCGCCCAUUUAUAUUAAGUUUAGAAUUUAAUUUAAACUUAGAUUUAAGAUGAUUCACGCCGGAUAAAAGAAAAUGAAUUUAUUUUAAUUCCAACAAAAAUGAUUUACAAAAACAUUUGUAAAUUUAAUUAUUGAAUUUAUAUGCAUUGUAUAUUUAUUUAAUUUAGCAUUCAAGUAUUUUUUUUACGAGAUAUUUAUUUAGCAAACCCUGAAAUAUUUAUUACAGUCCCGAUAUUUUAUCUAUGUUACUAAUAACCACCCAAUAUCAUGAUAUAUUUUUUUUUACAUACAUGUGCAGACAAUCAAUUAUAUCUGCACAAUAAAAUCAUAUCUUUGAUAUCUUAUCAAAUAUUUGUCCACUUUCAUUUGCUUCCACUUUCUUUUAUUUUAUUUGUCCACUUUCUUUUGUUUCCAUUUAUUUUUGUUUUUAUGCAGUCAAAUUCCACUACACCAGAUCAGCCAAGUUUUCCACUACACCUAACAAAUCAGUCAAAUUUUCCUUCACUCACUACUCCACCAAAUUUCUUUCAUCGGCUCUCCAAAAUCAUUUCACCAGAAAUCUCCCCAAACUCAUUUCACCAGAAAUCUCCCCAAACCAAAGCAAACAUCCAUCUGUGUAUCAACAACAAAUCAGUGAAAGGUUUUGUAGACCGUGAGGACUAGCGCUGCUAUAUCAAUUCAGAGUUAAGAAUAAACGACAGGCAUUGCCUAAUCAGGUUGAUUGGUCGGUGCUGACGGGGCAGAGCUGAGGCUAGGGUUCAACUCCGUAUUUUGUCUUCCGCUGUUGCACUAGCU